CCUCCCACUUCCCUCUCUCCCCUGUCCUCUCUCUCCGGGCUCCCACCGCCGCCGCGGGCCGGGGAGCCACCGGCCGCCACCAUGAGUUCCUUCAGCUGCGAGCCGUACUACUCGACCUCCUACAAGCGGCGCUAUGUGGAGACGCCCCGGGUGCACAUCUCCAGCGUGCACAGCGGCUACAGCACCGCACGCUCCGCUUACUCCAGCUACUCGGCGCCGGUGUCUUCCUCGCUGUCCGUGCGCCGCAGCUACUCGUCCAGCUCUGGAUCGUUGAUGCCCAGCCUGGAGAACCUCGACCUGAGCCAGGUAGCCGCCAUCAGCAACGACCUCAAGUCGAUCCGCACGCAGGAGAAGGCGCAGCUCCAGGACCUCAAUGACCGCUUCGCCAGCUUCAUCGAGCGCGUACACGAGCUGGAGCAGCAGAACAAGGUCCUGGAAGCAGAGCUGCUGGUGCUGCGCCAGAAGCACUCCGAGCCAUCCCGCUUCCGGGCGCUGUACGAGCAGGAGAUCCGCGACCUGCGCCUGGCGGCGGAAGAUGCUACCAACGAGAAGCAGGCGCUCCAGGGCGAGCGCGAAGGGCUGGAGGAGACCCUGCGCAACCUGCAGGCACGCUAUGAAGAGGAGGUGCUGAGCCGCGAGGACGCCGAGGGCCGGCUGAUGGAAGCGAGCAAAGGCGCCGACGAGGCGGCGCUCGCUGGCGCCGAGCUCGAAAAGCGCAUCGACAGCUUGAUGGAUGAAAUCGCGUUUCUGAAGAAAGUGCACGAAGAGGAGAUCGCCGAGCUGCAGGCGCAGAUCCAGUACGCGCAGAUCUCCGUGGAGAUGGAUGUGUCCAAGCCCGACCUCUCCGCUGCGCUCAAGGACAUGCGCGCGCAGUACGAGAAGCUGGCCGCCAAGAACAUGCAGAAUGCUGAGGAGUGGUUCAAGAGCCGCUUCACCGUGCUGACCGAGAGCGCCGCCAAGAACACCGACGCCGUGCGCGCCGCCAAGGACGAGGUGUCCGAGAGCCGUCGUCUGCUCAAGGCCAAGACCCUGGAGAUCGAAGCAUGCCGGGGCAUGAACGAAGCGCUGGAGAAGCAGCUGCAGGAGCUGGAGGACAAGCAGAACAUUGACAUCAGCGCUAUGCAGGACACGAUCAACAAAUUAGAAAAUGAAUUGAGGACCACAAAGAGUGAAAUGGCACGAUACCUAAAAGAAUAUCAAGACCUCCUCAACGUGAAGAUGGUUUUGGAUAUUGAGAUUGCAGCUUACAGGAAACUCUUGGAAGGUGAGGAGACCCAACUCAGUUUCACCAGCGUGGGAAGCAUAACCAGUGGCUACUCCCAGAGCUCCCAGGUCUUUGGCCGAUCUGCCUACGGUGGUUUACAGACCAGCUCCUAUCUGAUGUCCACUCGCUCCUUCCCGUCCUACUACACCAGCCAUGUCCAAGAGGAGCAGAUUGAAGUGGAGGAAACCAUUGAGGCUGCCAAGGCUGAGGAAGCCAAGGAUGAGCCCCCCUCUGAAGGAGAAGCCGAGGAGGAGGAGAAGGACAAGGAAGAGGCCGAGGAAGAGGAGGUAGCUGAAGAGGAAGAAGCUGCCAAGGAAGAGUCUGAAGAAGCAAAAGAAGAAGAAGGAGGUGAAGGUGAAGAAGGAGAGGAAACCAAAGAAGCUGAAGAGGAGAAGAAAGUUGAAGGUGCUGGAGAGGAACAAGCAGCUAAGAAGAAAGAUUGAACCCCCAUUUCCUUAAUUAUUUCAGGAAUAAUUCUCCCGAAAUCAGGUCAAGCCCAUCACCAACCAACCAACCAGCUGAGUUCCAGAUCCUAUGUGAAUUAAAAAGUCAAUAUAUGUAUAAUUCUGAGAUGACUUAGGUUGGACAUUCAAUGUUGUGCUAUGAAUUUCCUCUUUAUGCAGAGUAUCUGUUUGCUUGCAGAGUGGCUUUCUGGCUUGCUGCCAGCCUGUGCAUGGUCCACGCUUAUGAGUUCAGGAUCUACGGCAAUGUGAAUCAUUCAGAUGUUUACAAUAAAAAAACACCACAUGAGUAAAUGAAUUCGCUAAUGUUAAUGUUAAACUUCAUGGAAAAAUAGUCCUUUGAACCUUUGGUGGUUAGCAAUUAAAGACCCUGAGUUAUGUGCAAUAAAUAGUAAAUAAAGUUAUACCGAAUGAUGUAAAAAAAAAAA